rnacentral:rRNA from 1 species
UACGGAGGGAGCUAGCGUUGUUCGGAAUUACUGGGCGUAAAGCGCACGUAGGCGGCUUUGUAAGUUAGAGGUGAAAGCCCGGGGCUCAACCCCGGAAUUGCCUUUAAGACUGCAUCGCUUGAAUCCAGGAGAGGUGAGUGGAAUUCCGAGUGUAGAGGUGAAAUUCGUAGAUAUUCGGAAGAACACCAGUGGCGGAGGCGGCUCACUGGACUGGUAUUGACGCUGAGGUGCGAAAGCGUGGGGAGCAAACAGG